CAAAGGGCCUCAAACAAGGAGACCAUUUUCCUGACAAGCAGACAGGCCUGUCCUUCCUAUAUGACGGACCUGAUGUAGGUCACCACAAUGAGACUUGACAGGGAGCAUCCGUGUGGCCAAAAAAGAGGGUUCAAGUUCAACAUUACAGAUUUUGAGCAUGAAAACUCAGCCAACCCUUGAACAUCAUUCACCAGAAAUGCUGCAUUUUUGAUACUGAUUUCAGAAGCUCCAAAAGCUUACGAGCUUCUCUGUAAUCUUUACCUGUCACUGAACUGUAAUGCAACAGGCCGAAAAGUCGAAGAGGAAUAACAUAUACCCCUCCUGUUCGAGACGCUCGUUCCCAGGGCAUGAUAUGUAGGAGGAUCCUAUCA